CCUACGGGUGGCAGCAGUGAGGAAUAUUGGUCAAUGGGCGAGAGCCUGAACCAGCCAAGUAGCGUGAAGGAUGACUGCCCUACGGGUUGUAAACUUCUUUUAUAUGGGAAUAAAGUGAGUCACGUGUGACUUAUUGUCUGUACCCUAUGAAUCAGCAUCGGCUAACUCCGUGCCAGCAGCCGCGGUAAUACGGAGGAUUCGAGCGUUAUCCGGAUUUAUUGGGUUUAAAGGGAGCGUAGGUGGUUUGAUAAGUCAGUUGUGAAAGUUUGAGGCUCAACCUUAUAAUUGCAUGUGAUACUGGUAGGCUAGAGAAUAGUUGAGGUAGGCGGAAUUCGUGGUGUAGCGGUGAAAUGCUUAGAGAUCACGAAGAACACCGAUUGCGAAGGCAGCUUACUAAGCUACUACUGACGUUGAUGCGCGAAAGCGUGGGGAGCAAACAGGAUUAGAUAGCCGAGUAGUC
rnacentral:rRNA from 1 species